UCUGAUAAGAGAGUAUGAUCCCUGCUCAGGAUGAAUGCUGGCAACACGCUUAACACAUGCAAGUUAAACAAGAAUUAAUUAUUCUAGUAGCAAACGGGUGCGUAACUACAUAAGAACUUAUCUUUUAGAAGGAAAUAACAUAUAGAAAUAUUUGCUAAUAACCUAUAAACUGAAAAGUAAAAGGAUAAAAUCCACUAAAUGCAAGGCUUAUGUCUGAUUAGUUAGUUGGUAAGGUAAUGGCUUACCAAGACAAUGAUCAGUAAUUGGUCUGAGAGGAUGAUCAAUCACACUGGAACUGAGAUAAGGUCCAGACUUUUACGAAAGGCAGCAGUGAGGAAUUUUCCGCAAUGGGCGAAAGCCUGACGGGGCGAUGUUGCGUGAAGGCAGAAGGCCUCUAGGUCGUAAACUUCUUUUGUGAAAAAAAUAAGUAAAAAUGACAGUAUUUUCAAGAAUAAGCAUCGGCUAACUCUGUGCCAGCAGCCGCGGUGAGACAGAGGAUGCGAGCAUUAUCCGGAAUUAUUGGGCGUAAAGUGUUUUAAGGUGGCUUUUUAAGUCUAUUUGUUAAAUCUCAGAGCUCAACUCUGAUUAAGCACUAGAAACUAUUAAGCUAGAGUUUGAAUGAAACAGGGAUAAUUUUCAAUGAAGCGGUUAAAUGUGUUGAUAUUGAAAAGAAUACCAAACGGAAGGCGAAAGCACCCUGCUGGUUCAAAACUGACACUGGUAAACGAAAGCUAAGGUAGCGAUAGGGAUUAGAUACCCCAAUAGUCUUAGCUGUAAACGAUGGAUACUUAGUUUUUUUAUACAUAUAUUAUUUCGUUUUAUUUGAAAUAGUGUAUAAUAAACACUAAAGCUAACGCAACAAGUAUCCCGCCUGGGAAGUACGUUCGCAAGAAUGAAACUCAAGGGAAUUGGCGGGGGUCCGCACAAGCGGUGGAGCAUGUGGUUUAAUUCGAUGCAAAGCGAAGAACCUUACCAGGGAUUGAUAUGUCGUAAUCUAACUGAACAAGUAAGAUGCAUUUCAAGAUGUAGACACAGGUGGUGCAUGGCUGUCGUCAGCUCGUACUGUCAGGCGUAGGGUCAACUCCCCUAACGGGCGCAACUCCCAUGUUUAGUUACUUUUUUUUAAAGUACCCUAAACAAACAGCUCAAUGAAAAACUAAAUUAGAGGAAGGUGGGGAAGACGUCAAGUCAUCAUGCCCUUUAUACUCUGGGCUACUCGCGUGCUACAAUGGUUGGGACAAUGGGUUGCAAUCCUGUAAAGGCUAGCAAAACCUAAAACCCAGUCUCAGUUCGGAUUGUGGACUGCAAUUCGUCCACAUGAAGCGGGAAUCGCUAGUAAUCGCUGGUCAGCCAUACAGCGGUGAAUAAGUCACCGGAUCUUACACACACUGCCCGUCAUGCUCUGGAAAUUAAUCGUGCUCGAUUUCAUAUAAUGAGAAAAGUAAGAUUGGUAACUAGAGUGAAGUCGUAACAAGGUAGCUGUACCAGAAGGUGUGGCUGGAUGACCUCC
rnacentral:rRNA from 1 species